GACGUCGGCGGGGGCCUCGGGAAGA
rnacentral:ncRNA from 2 species